ACUCCUACGGGAGGCAGCAGUGGGGAAUAUUGGACAAUGGGCGAAAGCCUGAUCCAGCAAUGCCGCGUGAGUGAUGAAGGCCUUAGGGUUGUAAAGCUCUUUUACCCGGGAUGAUAAUGACAGUACCGGGAGAAUAAGCCCCGGCUAACUCCGUGCCAGCAGCCGCGGUAAUA
rnacentral:rRNA from 1 species